CCCAGGUGCAAACAGGAAGCCCUGGAAGCAGUUGUCCUAUUUUUAGAAAGACAGGUUUGUUCCCGGCCCUACUGCAUAAAGGGCAAGAGAGAAGUGAGAGGUUCCUGGCGGAAGGCUCCUUGCAAGGGACAGUUCUGAGCUGCUAGGUGCGGCCAGUCAGAUGGCAGGGGCCGCUUUAAUUUGGAUAAGCCUUCUCCGAAAGGAGCCCUGCUGAUGUAAUAACGGGGAAAAUCCCUGUGUGAAAGGCCCUGAAACUGACGGGCUGGGAAACGCUGAUUCCCCGUGGGCAGGAAUGCUUGUCUAAUCGCGACGGCUCUGCACAGCUCCUGCCCAGGUAUGAAGUGCAGCGGCUUGCACCAGUGCUAGGGCGGAGAUGCACUGUUUGCCCGACUGUUUGGGGUGUGUCAGGGGCUCUGCUUAGAACUCGCACAAUUCUGAACGGAGGAGGAGAAAGUCCAGUUACUGAAGGGCAGAAUUUCCAUGCGCCUGCAGCCUCCAAAUCCAGACCACCCCCGAAUUCACCUCUGACAAAAUUCUGGGGACGCUGGGUACCCUGAAUCACCAUGGGCAAUGAGAACAGCACCUUGGACAACCAGCAGGAGGACGCCGGCUUGCAUAACGUCAUCCUGUGGCCUCCAAACCCUGAGCCCCCACAGAGGACUUCAUCAGCUCAGACGCCAAGGUCCACACAGCCACCGGGGAACAGUCAGAAUAUAAAAAGGAAGCAGCAGGACAUGCCCGGAAGCCCUGACCACAGAGACGCAUCCAGGUAGGAGGCCGGCUCUGGAGGACCGAUGCAGCCCAAGGCCUGCCCUGCUCAUUGCCUGCUCCAGCAUUA
rnacentral:lncRNA from 1 species